rnacentral:rRNA from 1 species
GAUGAACGCUGGCGGCGUGCCUAAUACAUGCAAGUCGAGCGAACGGACGAGAAGCUUGCUUCUCUGAUGUUAGCGGCGGACGGGUGAGUAAGACGUGGAUAACCUACCUAUAAGACUGGGAUAACUUCGGGAAACCGGAGCUAAUACCGGAUGAUAUUUUGAACCGCAUGGUUCAAAAGUGAAAGACGGUCUUGCUGUCACUUAUAGAUGGAUCCGCGCUGCAUUAGCUAGUUGGUAAGGUAACGGCUUACCAAGGCAACGAUGCAUAGCCGACCUGAGAGGGUGAUCGGCCACACUGGAACUGAGACACGGUCCAGACUCCUACGGGAGGCAGCAGUAGGGAAUCUUCCGCAAUGGGCGAAAGCCUGACGGAGCAACGCCGCGUGAGUGAUGAAGGUCUUCGGAUCGUAAAACUCUGUUAUUAGGGAAGAACAUAUGUGUAAGUAACUGUGCACAUCUUGACGGUACCUAAUCAGAAAGCCACGGCUAACUACGUG